GAUGAACGCUGGCGGCGUGCCUAAUACAUGCAAGUCGAGCGAACAGACGAGGAGCUUGCUCCUCUGACGUUAGCGGCGGACGUGUGAGUAACACGUGGAUAACCUACCUAUAAGACUGGGAUAACUUCGGGAAACCGGAGCUAAUACCGGAUAAUAUAUUGAACCGCAUGGUUCAAUAGUGAAAGACUGUUUUGCUGUCACUUAUAGAUGGAUCCGCGCCGCAUUAGCUAGUUGGUAAGGUAACGGCUUACCAAGGCGACGAUGCGUAGCCGACCUGAGAGGGUGAUCGGCCAAACUGGAACUGAGACACGGUCCAGACUCCUACGGGAGGAAGCAGUAGGGAAUCUUCCGCAAUGGGCGAAAGCCUGACGGAGCAACGCCGCGUGAGUGAUGAAGGUCUUCGGAUCGUAAAACUCUGUUAUUAGGGAAGAACAAAUGUGUAAGUAACUAUGCACGUCUUGACGGUACCUAAUCAGAAAGCCACGGCUAACUACGUG
rnacentral:rRNA from 1 species